GACAUUCGGGGCUCACUGGUGAUUCAUGAUAACUCCUCGAAUUGCAUGGCCUUGAGCCGGCGAUGAUCAUUCAAAUUUCUCCCUAUCAACUUUCGAUGUUUGGGUAUUGGCCAAACAUGGUUGCACCGGGUAUCGGAGGGUUAGGGCUCGACCCCGGAGAAGGAGCAUGAGAAACGGCUACUACAUCCAAGGAAGGCAGCAGGCGCGCAAAUUACCCAAUCCCGACACGGGGAGGUAGUGACAAUAAAUACUGAUACAGGGCUCUUUUGGCUCUUGUAAUUGGAAUGAGUACAAUUCAAAUCCCUUAACGAGGAACAAUUGGAGGGCAAGUCUGGUGCCAGCAGCCGCGGUAAUUCCAGCUCCAAUAGCGUAUAUUAAAGUUGUUGUGGUUAAAAAGCUCGUAGUUGAACCUUGGGCCUGGCUGGCCGGUCCGCCUCACCGCGUGUACUGGUCCGGCCGGGCCUUUCCCUCUGUGGAACCCCAUGCCCUUCACUGGGUGUGGCGGGGAAACAGGACUUUUACUGUGAAAAAAUUAGAGUGCUCCAGGCAGGCCUAUGCUUGAAUACAUUAGCAUGGAAUAAUAGAAUAGGACGUGUGGUUCUAUUUUGUUGGUUUCUAGGACCGCCGUAAUGAUUAAUAGGGACAGUCGGGGGCAUCAGUAUUCAAUUGUCAGAGGUGAAAUUCUUGGAUUUAUUGAAGACUAACUACUGCGAAAGCAUUUGCCAAGGAUGUUUUCAUUAAUCAGGAACGAAAGUUAGGGGAUCGAAGACGAUCAGAUACCGUCGUAGUAUUAACCAUAAACUAUGCCGACUAGGGAUCGGACGGUGUUAUUUUUUGACCCGUUCGGCACCUUACGAGAAAUCAAAGUGCUUGGGCUCCAGGGGGAGUAUGGUAGCAAGGCUGAAACUUAAAGGAAUUGACGGAAG
rnacentral:rRNA from 1 species